UACGAAGGGGGCUAGCGUUGCUCGGAAUCACUGGGCGGAAAGGGUGCGUAGGCGGGUUUUUAAGUCAGGGGUGAAAUCCUGGAGCUCAACUCCAGAACUGCCUUUGAUACUGAAGAUCUUGAGUCCGGGAGAGGUGAGUGGAACUGCGAGUGUAGAGGUGAAAUUCGUAGAUAUUCGCAAGAACACCAGUGGCGAAGGCGGCUCACUGGCCCGGUACUGACGCUGAGGCACGAAAGCCAGGGGAGCAAACGGG
rnacentral:rRNA from 1 species